rnacentral:lncRNA from 1 species
AAAGUCUGGAGGUCUAGAAUCAGGGUUGUAGGAUAGGGGCUCCUAGAGUUUUUCGUACGCCUCAUCCGGGGUUGGGUGUGGGUCAGCAGGGUUACCCAUUGAUGAUUUGUGUUUUAGCUGAUGUCCCCCCCUAUGGCUGUUAGUUAUGGUAGUUACUGUACGAUAUUAUUGCAUGCGAUUGUAUCUAUGUUCCGUAUGUUUAGAUAAUUAUUUACGCUAUUUACGCUAUUUCUGCCGGAGUU